AGUUAGCGGCGGACGGGUGAGUAACACGUGGGCAACCUGCCUGUAAGACUGGGAUAACUUCGGGAAACCGGAGCUAAUACCGGAUAAUAUAUAGUACCUCCUGGUACUAUAUUGAAAGAUGGUUUCGGCUAUCACUUACAGAUGGGCCCGCGGCGCAUUAGCUAGUUGGUGAGGUAACGGCUCACCAAGGCAACGAUGCGUAGCCGACCUGAGAGGGUGAUCGGCCACACUGGGACUGAGACACGGCCCAGACUCCUACGGGAGGCAGCAGUAGGGAAUCUUCCACAAUGGACGAAAGUCUGAUGGAGCAACGCCGCGUGAGCGAUGAAGGCCUUCGGGUCGUAAAGCUCUGUUGUUAGGGAAGAACAAGUGCGAGAGUAACUGCUCGCACCUUGACGGUACCUAACCAGAAAGCCACGGCUAACUACGUGCCAGCAGCCGCGGUAAUACGUAGGUGGCAAGCGUUGUCCGGAAUUAUUGGGCGUAAAGCGCGCGCAGGCGGUUUCUUAAGUCUGAUGUGAAAGCCCACGGCUCAACCGUGGAGGGUCAUUGGAAACUGGGAGACUUGAGUGCAGAAGAGGAGAGUGGAAUUCCACGUGUAGCGGUGAAAUGCGUAGAGAUGUGGAGGAACACCAGUGGCGAAGGCGACUCUCUGGUCUGUAACUGACGCUGAGGCGCGAAAGCGUGGGGAGCAAACAGGAUUAGAUACCCUGGUAGUCCACGCCGUAAACGAUGAGUGCUAAGUGUUAGAGGGUUUCCGCCCUUUAGUGCUGCAGCUAACGCAUUAAGCACUCCGCCUGGGGAGUACGGUCGCAAGACUGAAACUCAAGGAAUUGACGGGGGCCCGCCACAGCGGUGGAGCAUGGUGGUUUAAUUCGAAGCAACGCGAAGACCUUACAGGUCUGACAUCCUCUUGC
rnacentral:rRNA from 2 species